GGGGAAGAAUCGCUCAUUCAUCCUCUUACUCUGCUUAUAAUCUAGACCUUAAAAACUUAUGUAACGAACGUGUCGUGUUCAAGUGCGAGAAAAUGAGGUUUAACCCACGCAAAGUUAAGAGGGAGAUUGGACAUCCGAGUCAAAGAGAGAGAUACAAAACAGCAUUGUAAAAAAAAAAAACAGUGAAUAUGACUUUAUGAUCUAUCUUGGGGCUUUUGGUCUUGAUUUGGAGAGGACGGGAUGGUGGGCAGAGCAGGAAACAGGAGAGGGGAACAGAGACCUAAAGCAGAACCAGACUCAUGUUAGACAGUCAUCUGACGCUACUGUUUAGAGAGAAAGAUGGACAGAGGUGAGACUGAUGCAGUUAGAGCAGGCAGGUCCAGGACAGCAAACGUCUGCAGCAGCAUUCCAGAGGAAACUACAGCAUGAUGGAGCUCACAGACUCCCAGAAAAGACUGUUUUAGUGACUCUAACAGGACAAUUCUUUUAAAACUCUUUUAAUCGUUUUUAUAGCCCUCAGUGGUCUUACCCCUCUGUACCUGUCAGAGCUCCUGCAUCACCACUCAGUUGCUUUUGGACGUCCCUAAAACUAAACUUAAAUCUAGAGGUGACGGGGCUUUUUCAGCGGUCGCCCCCAGACUCUGGAACAGUCGACAUGGUCAUAUUAGAGCCUCACAGACCCUACAGACUUUAAAUCAUCCUUUAAGACCUACUUUUUUCUCAAGUGCGUUUCAUGAAUGAGCAGACACGAAUCAUAGGCACUGUAGCUUUUAUUCUUUGACUGUCUGUAUUUUAUUUCACUCUUUUUAUGUUAUUGUUUUAUUGUAAUUUAUCGAUUUAUUUACUUCUUUUAUUUAUCCUAUGUAAAGCACUUUGACUGCUGUCUUCUUAAAGGUGCUUCAUAGAUAAACUUGACUUGACAGGAUGAUUCAAAGUUAUUGACACAGACAGAAACCCCUCAUCUAAAAACCUGAACUAUCCCUUUAAGUAGCCUAAAAUGUAUUGGUGCCAUUUCUGACAUAUUUAUGCUGCAUUUACAAUCUGAUAUCCAUCUGCAUUAUCCUCGAUUGAAGGCUAAUACCAAUGUUAGCAUGGGUUUAUCAAACAAACUGGGAUUAAGAGAUGAUUUCUUCAACUGGUAACAUUGAAACUGUACAUUUUAGCUGCCUUGCUAACUUUCCUUCAAUAAGUAAACUCCAGUCUUAUAACUCUUUUUUGAGACUCCAGAAAACUGACUCUCAUAGGGCUGGGUGAUAUGGCCUCAAAUCAAUAUCACAAUAUAUUGAUCAGUUCACCUCGAUAACGAUAAAUGGACGAUAACUACUCCACAAGCUGUUCACCCCCGCUCCAACUUUUGAACCGUCCUCCAUCUCCUCACCUGUCUUUCCCUCUUUGUUACAGACUGGAUGGGGUGGAGUCACGUCUCUGAUGUAGGACAGCGUCUUAAAGGGACAUGAGACCAUAGCCUACCUACACACAUCCAAAACCAAAUUUUGAUUUAUUGAUUUUUUGGACACCAAAUAUAUUGAUAUGGUCAAAAUGACGUUGGUUAUUGUCAUAAAUUUCAGUAUCAGUAAAUUUUCGGUUUAUCGCCCAGCCCUAAAAACCCCUCAUCAAAAAACUUGAACUAUCCCUUUAAGUCGCCUAUGCUGGAUUGUAGGCUUAUAUCAAUAACUGGUAAACAUUGCUAACUUUCCUGAACUCCUGUCUCAUAACUCUUUUUGAGACUCCGGCUAACUGACUCUUAUUCCUGCGUUUUAAUGAUGGAGGUCCAGGUGUUGAGUAGCCGUUAGCUCAGCGUAAAGAGUAUUGAUAGGGCUUGUCCUGGUUGUUGUACUCAGUGUGUAGCUCCUGUAGCUCUGUUUCAAACAGUCUGUCUGGUAGAAUUGAGCAUUGUGUCGGUCUGUUGAACAUAAAAGUGAGUGAAACUCGUGUCAGCGGCUGUUGGAGAGCAGGAAUGUUUCUCUGGAGGACGAGCAGCGACGGUUACAGCCGUUGCUCUGCUUACGUCUGCUUCUCUCUCUCUCUCUUUGUCUGUUUCUCUUUAUUAAUCUGUUCCUCCGAUUCUCACCGCUCAGCCGCUCCAUUUCUGUCAUUUCAUUUCUGCCGCUCCAUUUCUCCAUUUCCCUCCCUCUCUGUUUUAUAUCAGUCCUUUUUUUUGUUACAAACACUCACACAGAUCUCUGUUCACGCAGAGCCCUGUCCAUGAAAAUCCCGGUGGUGGUGAUAAAUCAGGACAGUCAGGCCUCCAGCAUCCCUGCCUGGUCUGAUUCAGCUGCUGCACGCUGUCACAGGAAGAGACGCCGGCCAAGAGCUCAGCAUGGACACGUGUGUGUGUAUAAAAGUGUAAAAAACUUUGCUGCACUCUGAACUAUUUAAUCGGAAUAUUAGAAACUGAACCGGCCUGUUAAUGCUCGGCCUCUCUCCCUUGGCUUUUUGGACACAAACUGAACGAGGACAUUUUUUCACCACCUUUCAAGAUUUUUAAAUAGAAAAUCACAGAAUCCAAAAGUUGUGAGUGACUAACCGUGUCAGGGUGUGAAUGUGUGUUUCUGCACUUGUAAAAAUGCCUCAGCGAGGGUUUCAUCAGGACGUGAUCUCACUCUCUCCGCUGCUUCUCUCUCUUUCAAAGCUCUCUGUUUCUCCUCAUAGAGCUCUAAUGACACAGUGCGGCUUUGAAGCUCCAUUCAGACUCUAUUUAUAAAACCGCUCGUCGUUUCGGUGGCACUGACUCACUGACUUUAAACACUCGUACUCCAAAAAACAAAGAAAGAAACAGCAGCACCAGGGCUCAAAGACUUCCACACACUCUCUACCAUAUACCAAAGAACCGCAGGGGAUUCUGGGAAGGUUUUUAACCUCUUCCUGGCUGUGUUGCUGUGGAGACGAGGGUUCAGGAAGUGGGAUUCUGCCAGCGGUCUAGCCAGGGGCCAGCAGCAGGAGGAGAGACGAAGAGGAGGAGAAGGAGGAGGAGGAGGUUUUUUGGCAGCAGCAGCUCAGAUGGAAAUCCCAGCAGUCAUGUCGGACUCACACGUCGCCCACAGAAACAUUCCCACCCUGUGACCAGCGCUCAGGUCACUACACCGUUAAUCUGCUGUCAGAGGCUCGCUGACAGGCAGCAGGAGUUUGUUGGCCUUGUACAAAGUGCUCACAGUUGAAGCUGGCGGUUUGCUGACAGGGUUUUCUGAAACGCCAGAGUGACCGUUUUUAUUUCUGACUGUGUGUGGAAAAACUUUCAUGGUCGAAGAGUUAGGGCCUGUGUCCACUACUGGCAGUCCCUGUUCCUCACACAACAUUAAACAAAAGGUGCAAAAACACCUCAAGCUGUUCUCACCUACUUCUGCUCUCAACUGAAAAGAGUUCAACUUUUGAACAGUGGUGUUUUUCUUUUAGUUAACUGUCUUAGUCUAGAGCUGCUAAUAAGACAACACCACUUCUGUCAGCUGAAGUUUUUAGAGAAUAAAAAAAAAAGAACUAACGUCCUCCAGUAACCCACCAAACAUCAGAUGUCGAAGAGACAUGCAGAUCAAGUCAGAAUCGGGUCGGUCCGUCAAAGACCACAUGGAGACGUCAGUGCGACAUGCAACUUCCUUUUUUAGACGUCGCUCUGACGUUUAGAAUUUGGACGUCAUCUGAAGACCAAAUCUUCAGACGUCCACACAACGUGCAAAAUAAAUCCAAGAUUUAGACGCCAUUAUUGGACCUCUUUUAUACGUUGAAAUGACGUCCACAUUUGUACCUCAUCGAAAAAAUACGUUGAAUAGAUGUCAUUUUGACGUCACAUUGGGCAGUGGGAAAGGAAGUAGAAGCGCUGUGGGACAACUGCCAUAACCGAGCAUAGGUGAUCUUUAGUGAGAGGUACUGCCAAUCAGGGCUGUCAAUGAAUAUUCUUAAUUCAAAUAUAUAUUCAAAUACUUAGAAAAAUGACAUUCUAAUGCGAAUAAUUCGAACAUUAAAUAGACUGCCGUAAAAUUUGGAGGGAGAAAAACUAAGAAAAAAAAAAACAGCGGCUGCUUUGCAAGUGUAAACGACGGGUCAGGGACAGGUCACAGGAGCUGCACCUGCUGUGAGACUCGACAAAAAAUGACUGUGGCACCUGCAGAGAGAGAUGGAGGGAUGUUCGGAGAGAGUGGUCUGGACUCCAACAAACUUUUGAGGCUCUGUUUGGUAAUUCUUCGGAUUUUGGGCAGACACGCCAGACGGAAAAAUGCUGAGCGAGAUUAAGUUAUACGCAAGCUGUGUACGCUAGAUGUUCGAAUAUAUUCAAACCUAUGUGUUAUUUUUAGAACAAAUAUUUGAACAUCAUUUUGACAGCUCUAGUUGUCAGGGUUGAUCGAAUACAAGAAAUUUUUAUGACAUCAGCUUUUACAAAAACAGUGAUUGCUGAGCUCUGAAUGCAGAGAAACUGCACUUGUAACUGUCUAGUUUAGAGAUGCUAAUAAGACAACAGCAUUUCUGUCCAUUUCUUAACAUAUCUCAGCAAAAUCCUUCUAAAUGAAGCAAAUUUGAAGUUUUUAGAGAAUAAAAAAAAGACCUAAUGUCCUCAAGUAAAGGAAGCUGAAGUGUUGCGGGAUAACUGCCAUAACCGGGCAUAGGUGAGCCUGAGUGAGAGGGACUGCCAAUGCAAACAACUUCCUAAGUGGACACAGGCCCUGAUGUGUAUUUAGGCGUAAUUGUGGGAAAAGCUGAUUUGACUGACAGUUGUAGUUGUUGGAAGUGUGCUAAGGAAAGCAGUCAGUAUUUCCACCGUCUUUGGGUUCCAUAACACCUCCUCUGAGUAAACGAGUGACGUCCAUAUCCUAAAAUAUAUAGGAGAGGGUCACUUUUGAAGGACUCGUCUGUCACUGACUCGAGUUAACUUUUUCACUCUGUUAGGUACGGAUAAAGAUCAUGAAGGAUUUACUUUUAAAGACACGAACGCAGCCCUCUGAAGAAUUUAUUGAACAAUCAAAAGUAGAGAGCGAAUUCAUCAGUCCUGUCAGCUUGAGUGAAGCUCGUUAAAGACGAUCCCUGCCCUGCUGAAGAGCCAGUAACAGCCUUUUCAUUCUGUAUUGAUUACAUGAUGGACAGAUCAGAGCAUCAGGUCCCCAGGGUUCAAACACACUCACACAUGCUUUUGUUCAUGCUUACACAGCAAGUAUUUAGUGUGUUUUAUUUUCUUCAUCAUGAAAAAAUAGGGACGGGAUUUUAACUCAGUGUUAAUAAAGGGUUUGAUAUGAAAGAAGGAGAUAAUUGAGAGGAAGAGUUAAAGACAAAGACUUGUAACGAGUCGAGUGCAGCUCCCCUCCGUCUGUCUGUCUUCCCUCUGUAUUGACUCUUCUUUAAAAAUAGCAACACGAGGCGAGCUUUGAAACCUCAUCCCCCCUCUUUCUCUCCCUUCAGCCGGUGCUUCUCGGCUCAGUUAAGUCUCUUGAAUCAUCUCAGCGAAAAAAAAAAAAAACUCUUGUUCUUUUCCAUCUUUUAAUCCAAGCAUGGAGUCAUCCUCUCUGACUUCAUCGAUAUCAUCAAUAAUUUCUCCUGAAACAUGACGUAAUCUGUGCAGACUUGAACUUACUUUGACUUUUCGUUCUUGUUGUGCUUGUUUGCAUAUAUUUGUUUACAAUGAAUUAUUGGAAAAGUUGUGUGAUGCUUGAAAUAAUCCUGUGGGAACAUUUUCAAACUAAUUAGUAGCUCAACAUUUUCUGGAUUAUGCUCAUAGACUGUAUAUAGAAUGGACACGUCUGCCUCCUCACUGGGAGGAGACACCGCGAGAACAGCACCAUCUGGUGACAGGCUGCAGUAUAGGUCAUAAAUCCCGCCUCCUCCAGUAAUCCCUAUGGAGCUGUGGACAAACUUCAUAAAUUUAUUACACAGAAUAUAAAUGUUUCUCCCCCUGGUUGUGAUGUUGACAUGUAGUUACUGUCAGACUGGUUUGUGCUCAAGUCCUCUAUUUUCUGUACAGCUCCAUUUUUAAAAGUUAUUAGAGGGUUCAUGUUUUCUAUGAUUGACACCUGAUACAGCCUAUGGACAAAUAUGGUGUAGCUCACCCAGGGGAUACCCUGUCUGAGCCGAAUGCUACCGUGCCAGCGGUGGUUCCAAGAAGUGGAAAAAACAUGGAAAUCCAGAGAGCAAUUCGGCUUUAAAUUCAUAUACUGGUGGAAGGCAGAGCCAUGUUCUCCAUAGAUAUACAUUCUAUGGUUAUAGAGCUGUAAAAUUACAAAUAAUUUGAGGAUUUAUUAUGUUUUUAAAGAAUCAAAGAAUCUGGAGAAACCUUUGCACUGAAUAGACAAAGACUAAAAACAGACAUGACUCUGUAAUAGUGAAAAUCACCACAUUGAUAUCCUAGUGUCUGUAAACGAAGCUUUUCUGUGUUUUCACAAAUGUAGAAUCGGGGUGUAAAACUGUACCAUACCAAGAGAAAAAGAAGAAGAAGAAGAAGGAGGAUGUAUGUUAGGGCUGGGCGAUAAAACAAAAAUUUACUGAUACUUAAAUUUACAGCAAUAACUGACGUCACUUUGCCCAUGUCAAUAUAUUUUGUGUCAAAAUAGAUAAAUAAAUCAAAGUUGGUUUUGGGUGUGUGAGGGUAGGCUAUGGUCUCAUGUCCCUUUAAGACGCUAUCCUACGUCAGAGACGUGACUCCACCCCAUCCAGUCCAUAACAAAGAGGGAAAGACAGGUGAGGAGAUGGAGGACGGUUCAAAAGUUGUAGCGGCUGAAGUAGACGAAGUUAAUGUGGGAGGGGGUGAGCAGCUUGUGGAGUAGUUAUCGUCCAUUUAUCGUUAUCGAGUUGAACUGAUCAAUAAAUCAUGAUAUUGGUUUGAGGCCAUAUCGCCCAGCCCUA
rnacentral:lncRNA from 1 species